UCAAGUGGCCGAAUAGGCGGUAGCGCAGGAUAGAGUUCUUUCGAUGAAGCCGGCCUGUGAGGGAUCCGGUGGAGAGAUCACUAGUGAGAAUGAUGACAUGAGUAGCGACAAAGAGUGUGAGAGACACUCUCGCCGAAAGUCCAAGGGUUCCUGCUUAAAGCUAAUCUGAGCAGGGUAAGCCGGCCCCUAAGCCGAGGCCGAAAGGCGUAGGCGAUGGGAACCAGGUUAAUAUUCCUGGGCCGUGGAGUGGUGACGGAUCUCGGGUGUAGUUCAGUCUUAUCGGAUUGACUGGGCUGCUGAGAGGUUCCUGGAAAUAGCCCUCCUGUCAGACCGUACCCUAAACCGACACAGGUGGACUGGUAGAGCAUACCAAGGCGCUUGAGAGAACGAUGUUGAAGGAACUCGGCAAAAUACCUCCGUAAGUUCGCGAGAAGGAGGCCCGGUUCCUAGGCAACUAGGGGCUGGGGGCACAAACCAGGGGGUGGCGACUGUUUAUUAAAAACACAGGGCUCUGCGAAGUCGCAAGACGACGUAUAGGGUCUGACGCCUGCCCGGUGCCUGAAGGUUAAAAGGAGAGGUGAGAGCCUUGAAUUGAAGCCCAGGUAAACGGCGGCCGUAACUAUAACGGUCCUAAGGUAGCGAAAUUCCUUGUCGGGUAAGUUCCGACCUGCACGAAUGGCGUAACGACUUCCCCGCUGUCUCCAACAUCGACUCAGCGAAAUUGAAUUGCCUGUCAAGAUGCAGGCUUCCCGCGGUUAGACGGAAAGACCCCGUGCACCUUUACUACAGCUUCGCACUGGCAUCAGGACUGCAAUGUGCAGGAUAGGUGGUAGGCUUCGAAGCAGGGACGCCAGUUCCUGUGGAGCCUCCCUUGAGAUACCACCCUUUGCAUUCUUGAUGUCUAACCGCGGUCCGUUAUCCGGAUCCGGGACCCUGCGUGGCGGGUAGUUUGACUGGGGCGGUCGCCUCCUAAAGCGUAACGGAGGCGCGCGAAGGUUGGCUCAGAGCGGUCGGAAAUCGCUCGUUGAGUGCAAUGGCAGAAGCCAGCCUGACUGCGAGACUGACAAGUCGAGCAGAGUCGAAAGACGGCCAUAGUGAUCCGGUGGUCCCGAGUGGAAGGGCCAUCGCUCAACGGAUAAAAGGUACGCCGGGGAUAACAGGCUGAUACUGCCCAAGAGUCCAUAUCGACGGCAGUGUUUGGCACCUCGAUGUCGGCUCAUCUCAUCCUGGGGCUGGAGCAGGUCCCAAGGGUACGGCUGUUCGCCGUUUAAAGAGGUACGUGAGCUGGGUUUAGAACGUCGUGAGACAGUUCGGUCCCUAUCUGCCGUGGGUGUAGGAGACUUGAGAGGAGUUGCCCCUAGUACGAGAGGACCGGGGUGAACGAUCCACUGGUGGACCUGUUGUCGUGCCAACGGCAGUGCAGGGUAGCUAUGAUCGGACAGGAUAACCGCUGAAGGCAUCUAAGCGGGAAGCCCCCCUCAAAACAAGGUCUCCCUGAGGGCCGUGGAAGACCACCACGUCAAUAGGCCGGAGAUGUAAGCGCAGCAAUGCGUUCAGUUGACCGGUACUAAUCGCCCGAUAGGCUUGAUUUGAAAUCAAGCGCGAGAAGGGCGUUUGGUGAAUGCCUUGGCAGCAAGAGGCGAUGAAGGACGUGAUACUCUGCGAUAAGCCAUGGGGAGCUGAGAAUAAGCUUUGAUCCAUGGAUUUCCGAAUGGGGCAACCCACCUGACAGUUCGUUAUGAUCUGCGCGAGCAGUUCAUAAUGGAUUGAGACAGGUACUUAAGACCUGAAUACAUAGGGUUUUAAGAGCAAACCCGGGGAACUGAAACAUCUAAGUACCCGGAGGAAAGGACAUCAAUUGAUACUCCCCUAGUAGCGGCGAGCGAACGGGGACCAGCCGAGCCUUGAGAGUGAGAAGAACAUGUUGGGAAGCAUGGCCAUAGCGGGUGACAGCCCCGUAUUCGAAGCUCGAUGGGACGUAUUAAGUAGGGCGGGACACGUGAAAUCCUGUCUGAAGAUCGGAGGACCACCUUCGAAGGCUAAGUACUCCUUGCUGACCGAUAGCGAACCAGUACCGUGAGGGAAAGGUGAAAAGCACCCCGACGAGGGGAGUGAAACAGUACCUGAAACCGAACGCCUACAAUCAGUCGGAGGCUCCUUGCGAGCUGACGGCGUACCUUUUGUAUAAUGGGUCAUCGACUUGGUCUCACGAGCAAGCUUAAGCCGUUAGGUGUAGGCGCAGCGAAAGCGAGUCUUAAUAGGGCGCAUGAGUUCGUGGGAUCAGACCCGAAACCGAGUGAUCUAGGCAUGGCCAGGUUGAAGGUGCGGUAACACGCACUGGAGGACCGAACCCACAUCCGUUGAAAAGGAUCGGGAUGAGCUGUGCCUAGGGGUGAAAGGCCAAUCAAACUCGGAGAUAGCUGGUUCUCUGCGAAAUCUAUUUAGGUAGAGCGUCAUCCGAAUACCCCGGGGGGUAGAGCACUGGAUGGGUAAUGGGGCCCCACAGGCUUACUGAUCCUAACCAAACUCCGAAUACCCGGGAGUACUAGAUGGCAGACACACUGCGGAUGCUAACGUCCGUAGUGGAGAGGGAAACAACCCUGACCGACAGCUAAGGCCCCCAAUUCAUGGCUAAGUGGGAAAGCAGGUGGGACGACCAAAACAACCAGGAGGUUGGCUUAGAAGCAGCCAUCCUUUAAAGAUAGCGUAACAGCUCACUGGUCUAAACAAGUUGUCCUGCGGCGAAGAUGUAACGGGGCUCAAGCCAUGAGCCGAAGCUUCGGAUGCCGUAAGGCAUGGUAGCAGAGCGUAGUGUGACAUAGAACUCAUCCUGUA
rnacentral:rRNA from 1 species